UUGAAUUAACAAAUGAUGAGGUUUUCUAACUAUAAAGUGAUAAAAUAACUAUUUGUUUGUCACAUACAAACUAAAGAGAUAAAAUAUGGCAGGAAAUCUAAAAAUUGUUUAUGCUUUGAUGAUCUUGGUUUCCCUAAUUCUAGUUGUAACCAGUCAUAGUUUUCUCCCUUGUGUGACUAAGGAUGAUUGUGCAUAUGAUGAAUGUAUCUCUCCUAGAAAACCGACGUGUUAUUUGGAAACAUGUCACUGCUUGUAAGAGGAAAGAUCAAGUUGAAAGUUAAAAAUAAUUAUGUUUUUUAUAUUAAAAAUAAUUUUAUGUUAUUACGUCUAAUUACUCUAUAUUUAAUAUGCAUGUCGGCUGUCGCAAUGUUUCGACUAUUGUAAAAUUUCUUGCAGUUUUAUUUAUGUUUUUGUAAUCUUUCAAUUUCUUAUAAUAAACUCAAAAACGUGUUAUUAUUA